ACUCAACAUGGUGCCAUCAAGAGGAAUAAUCUCACAUAAACAGCUUUGAUCUUCAGUCUUGUGUCCUAAUAAAGGGGGUUUCAAAGUUUGUGUUGACAAAGGACACCAAAACACGAAGAUCAAUUAUGAAGGUGAGAAGAACAUGUAAUGCCAUAUGUAGGACACUGACCUAAACUGCUUGACCUCUGGCAUGGGCGGUCAAAGGUCAACUCACUUGACAUCUCUGCCCACAUCUUACUGAUGAACACACUCGGACCCAUCGGACGAGCGCUUCGGCGCACAUCUGUGCGUGUGAGACAAACAAUAUCAAGUGCGGGCGUACAAUGACACAUGGAAGUAAUCUGUUCAUCUCUGCUCUGGGCAAGAGGCAUCUUUUUUAAUUUCACUGGAGGAUAAAAAGCCAGCGGCAGAGCUCCAUCCAUUUUGUACGGUGCCUUAAUUUCACACAGCCCACAGAAAAAUUGGCAGUCGAUUUGUUGUU